rnacentral:rRNA from 1 species
GUAGGGAAUAUUGGGCAAUGGUCGGAAGACUGACCCAGCCAUGCCGCGUGCAGGAAGACGGCCCUCUGGGUUGUAAACUGCUUUUAUCUGGGAAGAAAAAGGCCAUGCGUGGCAAAUUGCCGGUACCAGAUGAAUAAGCACCGGCUAACUCCGUGCCAGCAGCCGCGGUAAUACGGAGGGUGCGAGCGUUGUCCGGAUUUAUUGGGGUUAAAGGGUGCGUAGGCGGCUGAUUAAGUCAGCGGUGAAAGACUUCGGCUUAACCGGGGCAGUGCCGUUGAUACUGGGUGGCUUGAGUGUCGGAGGGGUACAUGGAAUUGAUGGUGUAGCGGUGAAAUGCAUAGAUACCAUCAGGAACACCGAUAGCGAAGGCAUUGUACUGGCCGACAACUGACGCUGAUGCACGAAAGUGUGGGGAUCGAACAGGAUUAGAAACCCGUGUAGUCC